rnacentral:rRNA from 1 species
UGGCUCAGGAUGAACGCUAGCGGCAGGCUUAACACAUGCAAGUCGAGGGGUAACGAUGGUGCUUGCACCAGGCGACGACCGGCGGACGGGUGAGUAACACGUAUGCAAUUUGCCUUUAACUGGAGGAUAGCUUCGGGAAACCGUAAUUAAUACUCCAUAGUAUUCAAAAGACGCAUGUUUUUUGAAUUAAAGCUCCGGCGGUUAAAGAUGAGCAUGCGGGACAUUAGCUAGUUGGUAAGGUAACGGCUUACCAAGGCGACGAUGUCUAGGGGGUUUGAGAGGAUGAUCCCCCACACUGGUACUGAGACACGGACCAGACUCCUACGGGAGGCAGCAGUGAGGAAUAUUGGGCAAUGGGCGCAAGCCUGACCCAGCCAUGCCGCGUGCAGGAUGAAGGUCCUAUGGAUCGUAAACUGCUUUUGUAUGGGAAGAACUUCCCGCAUUCGUGCGGGAUUGACGGUACUAUACGAAUAAGGACCGGCUAACUCCGUGCCAGCAGCCGCGGUAAUACGGAGGGUCCAAGCGUUAUCCGGAUUCACUGGGUUUAAAGGGUGCGUAGGUGGAACGAUAAGUCGAUGGUGAAAGCCUACAGCUUAACUGUAGAAUUGCCAUUGAUACUGUUGUUCUUGAGUAUAGUCGGGGGAAGUGGAAUGCGUAAUGUAGCGGUGAAAUGCAUAGAUAUUACGCAGAACACCGAUCGCGAAAGCAGCUUCCUAGGCUAUUACUGACACUGAGGCACGAAAGCGUGGGGAGCGAACAGGAUUAGAUACCCUGGUAGUCCACGCCGUAAACGAUGCUCACUCGCUGUUGGCGAUAUAUUGUCAGCAGUUAAGCUAAAGCAUUAAGUGAGCCACCUGGGAAGUACGUCCGCAAGGAUGAAACUCAAAGGAAUUGACGGGGGCCCGCACAACCGGUGGAACAUGUGGUUCAAUUCGAUGAUACGCGAGGAACCUUACCUGGGCUUAAAUGUAGUUUGACUUCCGCCGAAAGGCGGUUUUCCUUCGGGACAAAUUACAAGGUGCUGCACGGCUGUCGUCAGCUCGUGCCGUGAGGUAUCGGGUUAAGUCCCUUAACGAGCGCAACCCCUAUUGUUAGUUACCAACAGGUUAAGCUGGGGACUCUAGCAAAACUGCCAGCGUAAGCUGGAGGAAGGUGGGGAUGACGUCAAGUCAGCAUGGCCCUUAUGUCCAGGGCUACACACGUGUUACAAUGGCCGAUACAAAGGGCAGCCACCACGCGAGUGGGAGCUAAUCCUUAAAAUCGGUCUCAGUUCGGAUCGAAGUCUGCAAUUCGACUUCGUGAAGGUGGAAUCGGUAGUAAUCGCGCAUCAGCAAUGGCGCGGUGAAUACGUUCCCGGGCCUUGUACACACUGCCCGUCAAGCCAUGGAAAUUGGUGUUGCCUGAAGUCCGUAACCAUCCAGGAGCGGCCUAAGGCAAAACUGAUAACUGGGGCUAAGUCGU